AUGGCCUCAGGAUAUUAUCAGGUGAACUUAGACGAAAAAUACAGACACAAGACAGCGUUUGUUACUAAAUACGGUCUAUUUCAGUAUACAAAACUUCCAUUUGGUUUAUGUAAUAGUCCUGCAACAUUCAGCAGAGUAAUUCAGCUUGUUCUUCAAGGCCUUACCUGGAAAGAAUGUCUAGCAUAUCUUGACGAUGUAAUUGUUUUAGGCAAAGAUUUUGAUGACCACAUCUGUAGUUUAAGUGAAGUGUUUUCGAGGUUCCAGAAGUAUAACUUAAAGUUAAAACCGAGCAAAUGUCAGCCUGCUGCAAAGUGCAAACAAGUGAAGUUUUUGGGGAAAAUAGUCAGCGCCGAUGGAGUUGCAGUGAAUCCUGACAGUAUAGGAUCUGUAAAGAAAUGGCCAACACCAAGGAACAGAAAAAAAAGUAGAAUCCUUUAUAGGUUUGUUAACUACCAUCGUGAUCACAUAGAACAAUUUGCCGAAAUUGCGGGACCUUUACAUCGACUAACUGGUCCAAAGGCAGAAUUUGCAUGGAAUGAAGAACAAACACAGUCUUUUCAAAAUCUUAAAGAAGCUUUGAUAAAUUCAGUGAUAUUAAGUUAUCCAACACCUGAUGACCUAUUUAUUCUAGAUACAGAUGCUUCACAAAAAUCUAUCGGGGCAGAAUUAAGUCAGAUACAAGAUGGAGUGGAAAGAACAGUAAGCUUCGCAAGUAAAGUCUUAACACCGGCUCAGCGGAAUUAUUGUACAACUAGAAAGGAAUUAUUGGCCAUUAUAUGUUUUACUAGACAAUUUCGUCACUAUCUAUUAGGUCGGACUUUUGUGAUAAGAACGGACCACAACAGUUUAAACCUGGUUACUAAACUUUAGAAAUAUAGAAGGACAACUGGCAAGAUGGAUAGAAGAACUGUCUCAGUAUAACAUGAUUAUACAACACAGAGCUGGAAAGAAACACAUUAACGCAGAUGGAUUGUCAAGAAACCUGAUGACAUUGAAGCAUGCCGUAACUACAGACCAGAUGUCAAUUUAGAAGAGUUACCUUGUGGAAGUUGCAAGUUUUGCACAAGGGCACGGCAACAGUGGCAAACAUUUGAGAAGAAGUGGAUUUUGUCGUCCUCUUAACCAUAAGAAGACUUGUUGACGACGGUUCAUAUAAUACAAAUUGGACUCCGUCAUACUCUCCAGUAGAACUGUAUGAAGAACAAAUAAAAGAUUCUGAUUUAAAAACUUUAAAGAGAUGGAUCGAUGAUAAAUAUGAGCCAACUAAAGCAGAACUCAAACUGUGUAGUGAAGUAGUCCGACAUUUUUGGUCAUUACGACAGCAAAUACAGAUAAAAGACAAUAUUUUACUUUACAAAUGGGAAGAUCCUAUUUCGCCAAGACUCCUUUUCAUGACACCAAAACAGAUGCAAAAGGAACUUCUACAUGGAUGUCAUGAUGUCGUCUCGUCUGGUCACAUGGGACAAUAUAAAACAUUAGAAAAACUGAAACAAAUAGCUGUUUGGUUAAACAUGACGCAAUCCUGCAAACUGUAUGUGAAAUCAUGCACUACAUGUAAUCUUAACAAGAAAUCAACACGAACUGCCAGAUCGAAGCUAGGGCAAUACCAUGCUGGUUUCCCAAUGGAACGAGUACACAUGGACAUCUUAGGGCCUCUUCCUGUUACAAAAACAGAAAGUAAAUAUUUGCUUAUGGUAAUUGAUCAGUAUACAAAGUGGUUAGAAUGCUUCCCAAUUGCAACACAGACAGCUGAAGUUGUGGCAAGAACCCUGGUGGAUCAUUUCUUUUCUAGAUUUGGCUGUCCGAUUGAGCUCCACACAGACCAAGGAAAAAACAUGGAUGGAAAUUUAGUAAGACAGCUCUGUGAACUACUACAAAUAGCCAAGACUAGAACCACACCAUAUCAUCCGUCAUCUAAUGGACAAGUGGAACGGUAUAACAGAACAAUACUACAGACAAUAAGAUGUUUCAUCAAAAGUAAACAACACAACUGGGAUUUAUUUUUACAACAACUAGUUGGAGCUGUCCGAGCAACACGCAACUCGCAAACAGGAUUCUCUGCUAACAUGAUGAUGCUGGGAAGAGAAGUUUUUCAACCAAUUGAUGUAAUUUUAGGCACUUCAAACUGGAAUGCUGACAGAAAAGAAGUUCCACAAUAUAUUAAAGAUCUAGUGGAGAAUUUAAACAGGGUGCAUGACAUCGCCAGGGAUAAUUUGAAGGCUUCACAGGAACGACAAAAAGGCAUAUACGAUUUGAAAUAUAACCAGAAUAUGUAUAAUGUCGGAGAUGUCGUUUAUAAACUCAAUCAAGCUACAAAGGUGGGACAGUCUGCCAAAUUGAAAUCUCCGUGGAAAGGACCAUAUUUGAUAACAGCUUGGCGUUCACCUGUAUUAUACAAGAUUAAAGGAUAG
rnacentral:sRNA from 1 species